UUUACAACAACUCAGCUCAAUCAGUAGAGCCUGAGAUUUUGAAUCUCGGGGUUGUGGGUUCAAACCCCACAUUGGGCAAAA